rnacentral:rRNA from 1 species
CCUACGGGAGGCAGCAGUGGGGAAUAUUGGACAAUGGGGGAAACCCUGAUCCAGCAAUGCCGCGUGAGUGAUGAAGGCCUUAGGGUUGUAAAGCUCUUUUACCAGGGAUGAUAAUGACAGUACCUGGAGAAUAAGCACCGGCUAACUACGUGCCAGCAGCCGCGGUAAUACGUAGGGUGCAAGCGUUAAUCGGAAUUACUGGGCGUAAAGCGUACGCAGGCGGCUUUGCAAGACAGGUGUGAAAUCCCCGGGCCUAACCUGGGAACUGCAUUUGUGACUGCAUCGCUAGAGUCUGUCAGAGGGGGGUGGAAUUCCACGUGUAGCAGUGAAAUGCGUAGAGAUGUGGAAGAACACCGAUGGCGAAGGCAGCCCCCUGGGAUGAGACUGACGCUCAUGUACGAAAGCGUGGGGAGCAAACAGGAUUAGAUACCCUGGUAGUCCACGCCCUAAACGAUGUCUACUAGUUGUCGGGGGGUAACUCCUUCGGUAACGCAGCUAACGCUUUAAGCAUCCCGCCUGGGGAGUACGGUCGCAAGAUUAAAACUCAAAGGAAUUGACGG